AUGAAGCUGAACAUCUCCUUCCUCACCAUCAGCUGUCAGAAACUCAUGGAGGUGGAUGAUGAGCGCAAGCUCCGCACCUUCUAUAAGAAGCGCAUGGCCACGGAAGUAGCCGCUGAUGCUCUUGGUGAAGAGUGGAAGGGUUAUGUGGUCCGGAUCAGCAGUGGGAAUGACAAGCAAGGUUUUCCCAUGAAGCAAGGUGUUCUGACCCAUGGCAUAGUGUGCCUGCUGUUGAGUAAGGGGCAUUCCUGUUACAAGGAGAACUGGAGAGAGGAAGUGCAAGUCUGUUCGUGGAUGCAAUGUGGACGCUAAUCUCAGUGUUCUCAACUUGGUUAUUGUAAAGAAAGGAGAGAAGGAUAUUCCUGGACUGACAGAUACUACUGUGCCUCGUCGGUUGGGACCUAAAAGAUCUAGUAGAAUCCGAAAGCUUUUUAAUCUCUCCAAAGAAGAUGAUGUCCGCUAGUAUGUUGUCAGGAAGCCCUUAAACAAAGAAGGUAAGAAGCCCAGGACCAAAGCACCUAAGAUUCAGCGUCUUGUUACUCCAUGUGUCCUGCAACACAAACGCCGACGUAUUGCUCUGAAGAAACAAUGCACUAAGAAGAACAAGGAGGAGGCUGCAGAAUAUGCUAAACUGUUGGCCAAGAGAAUGAAGGAAGCCAAAGAAAAGCUCCAGGAACAUAUUGCCAAGAGACAUAGACUGUCCUCGCUGAGAGCUUCUACUUCUAAGUCUGAGUCCAGUCAAAAAUGA
rnacentral:lncRNA from 1 species